rnacentral:rRNA from 1 species
UACGUAGGGUGCGAGCGUUGUCCGGAAUUAUUGGGCGUAAAGGGCUCGUAGGCGGUUUGUCACGUCGGGAGUGAAAACACCGGGCUUAACUCGGUGCUUGCUUCCGAUACGGGCAGACUAGAGGCAUGCAGGGGAGAACGGAAUUCCUGGUGUAGCGGUGAAAUGCGCAGAUAUCAGGAGGAACACCGGUGGCGAAGGCGGUCUGCUGGGCAGUUGCUGACACUGAGGCGCGACAGCGUGGGGAGCAAACAGG